GGAUUAGUAUACCAUUUGGAUUGGAAUUCUGAUAAACAAGCAAUUGGUCCUAAUUCUGCAAAGUUGACAAGCUAUAUUGGUACACUUGUUCGUAUGCAUAUUCCGGUCUCCAUAGCUAAAUGGAAUCUGAAAAGCGAAGAGUUGGAUGCUAAAAAAAAGCGAUUUGGGACGAGCUUCAGAGGACUUUUGAGAUACCAGAUGAUCGUAGACGCUACAUACUUAGUUUGGCCGGCAAAAGAUAUAGAGGGUGGAAAGCUUUUUUGACAAACACCUAUCUUAAGGAUAAAGAUGGAAACUUUCUUGAAGAGGCACCGGGACGGCCAAAAAAGUAUGAGAUCUUCAUUGAUGAAAAAGAUUGGGCUGAGUUUGUAAAGCAAAGAGAUGAAGAUUUUCGGAAAAGGAGUGCCACGAAUAGUGCGAGAGCAUCCAAACCCGCGUAUCCAUACAAAAAAGGGCGUUUGGGAUAUGCACGCUUAGAGGAUAAAAUUUUAGAGGAGACUAAAAGUGAGGAAACUUCACUUCCUGUACAUGUGUUGUGGAAGGAAGCUCGUGUGGGCAAGAAUCAAGCUGUCGAUCCCGAUGUUCAGAGAGUUUAUACUGAAUGUGUAAGUAUAAUGUUGUGUCUUUAAUUAAAUCAAAUGUUUUUUAAUAUAUAAAUGAUUUUUUAUCUCCACUAAUAAUUAUUGAAAUGUAAAUGAAUUACAGGAGACCUUGUCGCAAUCGGUAUCCACCGGUGAGGGGAGCGUACUUAGUAGAGCACUAGAUGCUCCUGAGUAUCCCGGUCGGGUGAGGGGUAAGGGUCAUGGUGUGACUCCAACCUCUUUUUACAAGAGUCCUAGGAGAAGAUCAAAUCUUACCAAUGAAGAAGUGUUGCAAAAGUUGCAGGAAUU